CCAAAGGCCAGCCCGCUUCUCGUGGUGACAGAGUCAUGCACCGACGACGUAGGGGGGAGGUCGGAGUGAGUCACCGCCACUGCUGUCGGCGGUCAGGUCCUGGAUGGCGCUGCGGUGGAGGCGCCAGCAACAGUGAGCACGCUUGUGCCAUCCGUGUGGUGGGUGGAGCUCCGGCGUGACUCUGGCGUGCCCCCCACCCGACCCUCACACUGCCUUGCUGGUGGGGGAGCCUGGGCCACCGCGGGCGGGAUGCGGCGGGUGGGGACGGGCAUGGUGGUGGGGGGGGGGCGGCUGUGGGGCGGCCUGCGGGGUCAGGGGCGGGUAGAUUGUGAGGCGCGGGGUCCUUGCCGUGAUGCGUGCCUGCUGCUGCUUUUCGCGAGGCGAUGGGGCCUGCGGGCAGGGCUGUGUCGAGCGGGUGUCGGCUGAUGUUUCGUCCCGGGCGUGUUUUUGGAUUGAGGGGCGGCAGCCGUUUUUUUUUUUCUGGUGGGGCUAGGGCGUUGGCCGGGGGCAUGAGGCAGCGGAGGGGAUUUGCAAGAGAGUUUUUCAGUGGGAAGAGAUAUAUCUUGUGGAAAAAGGUGACGGAGUCUGUUGGAUACGCGGGUUUUUGCGGCGAGAUCGCGGGUGUGUUUCGCUACCGAAGCGGCGGUUACUUGUAGGUGUGGGAAACCUGGGUGUUUGCCGGGCCUGGAUGAAAAACGGCGUAGCUGUGGGAUUGCCAGCGUCAGGCGUGCAAAGUCGUAUUAAUAGCCCCCCUCUUCCAAGUUUUCAGUGAACUGCUUGGCCUGCACGACCCAUCCCCACCCCCGCUCAAGGAGGCACCCGGCCCGUCUUUGUGCCGUCGGUGAAAAUCGUCCAAAGUGCCUCUCUUUCCAUCGUUUCGAGAUUACGCGUUGCCUCGGCCCCGCGCUCCGAUCAGUAAGAUGGAGAGGGGUCGCCGGCGGAAGGAACGCGUGAGCCAUCGGAGAAAAGCUUGCGCUCUCAGGAAGGUGUGUCGCCAACUGAAGUAGGUCUCUCGGCUGACGUGCCCGCGCGGGUGCGCAGAAGCAGAAGAGCUCGCUUACGGGGCGCUGAAAAGGUCAGGGGUGGCGCCUUGAUGCAGUGACAUUCGCAGUGAUUACUCCUGAAAAGAGAAGCUGGUAGGUAAGAAGAUGUAAUGUUUUAGGUGAUGGUCUCAAAAACUUGUGGACUCUAGCAUUUUCCUGCAAGCCAGAGGUUGCAGCGCCGCUUCUAUAGACUUUACUGCUUAGGUUUUUUUUUUUUGUUGAAGAGCAUGUAUGAACCACUUUUGUCGUGGUUUGGGUGGCUGUGCGGUGAGGAGGCUCUUCAGUGAACCCAAUCGAUUCUGUUUCUCCUGGCUAAUAUCAGUGCUUGCAAGGCUGUGAUUGGUAGUCGCUGAGCUCCACGUAAGGUGCUUGAAUUUGUAGAGAGGUGAGCGCGACGGGAAAAUCGACUUCCACAAUUAACAUCAUUGAAGCAGUUUCCCUAUCGUAAAGAGCCUGUGGAAAGAACGGAUGGUGAUCCCUCUUCGUAGUGCUUGCCGCAUACCCGAAAGAAGGAACCUGAGCAGUGGUUCGAUCCAUCCCUGCUUCAGGUACCCAGAAUGCUCGCAUACACAAUCCCUUUUCUCAUCUGACUUUUUUCCACCUAAUUCUCAAUCAUUAACAG
rnacentral:misc_RNA from 1 species